UAAUGGAGUGACCCUUGACAUGCAAGGUCUGACCUCUGGGCUAACCCUGUGCAUGACAGAGAGAGAUAGAGCUGAAUAUCCCUCACCACCGCCCUUCCAACCAGACUAUCAGCAGCUGGAAUGACGUGGGGGUCAGGCCCUUCAGGGAGGAGGGGCCACGAAUGUAUUGAGAUAACUGGAUAAAAUGUUCCAAGAUGGAGCCCCAUUCUCUCCUAAGAAGGCUGCUUACACAUUUUUGGGCCCUUGUCUGGUUGAAUGAAAAGAAUAUCUCAAUACGGCUGGUCAUGACAUUUUACUUUAUCGUAGAUCUGGCAGGAACUGUGAUACAACAAAGGAUAAUUUGUAUGUUAUGUUCAGUAAUGUGAUGGACUGGAAGGAAGGAAAGAAGGACAUUUAAAUAAGGAAGGACAAAGGUGAUUUAAAGAACUACAGGUCUGCUGGGGCUAAAAAUAGACUCAAUAGAAACCAAUGGAGGCAGACAGACAUGGCAGAGACAGACAGGCAGGUAGACAGAUACACCGUUUAGUUUGUCUUGCUUGCCUACUUCACCUUACUUGCCCAUGUUUCUACCCAUAUGGUGCCUCAGUAUACACAAUGGAGCUGCUGAGUUGGACUAACUGCUUACUAAAGACCCAAAGAUAGUACGGGCAAGGACCUCACACUGAAAGACUUUUCCCAAUCAGUUGAGCAAUACAAUGACGCCACACUCUACCCACAACGCGACGCGAUAUCAUCCGCCAUAUUGUUUGAGGUGCAAAGAAACACGUCAAGAGGGGCCUUUUUGAGUGUGCGAGGAUGAUAAUGAGUUACUAUUUAUCCCUUUUUUUGCAGUACAUAUUCAAACAUGUCAUCCGAUUACAUUUCUGUGCUCCCUCUUGAUUAAUAAAG